AUGACCUGAGCCAAAAUCAGGAGUCCGACACUCAACCGACUGAGCCACCCAGGACCCUGGGAUCAUGACCUGAGCUGAAGGCAGACGCUUCACUGACUGAGCCCCCCCGGCGCCCCUCUUCAACUCCUUCUAAUCUGCCCCCACCCCACCACCGUGCACCAAAGUGGGGUGUCGACACCAACGAUCACGUUGCCAAAUCCAGUGGCUCCUUUCUGACUUUAUCCUGUGGGACCCUCAGACCCCCUCCUCUUGCGACCUCUGAGACACUGCCCUCUCUGUCUCCUCUACACAAGCUCUACAAGGUAUUGAUCAUUCCCAAAGGACAUCUGCAACAACGUACUGUCGUCUGAGCUGUUUAUCCGCACUUCCAGCUGCCUACCAGACAUGUCCUCUUCCAUGUCUCACAGACAUCAUAAGCCUGAAUGAGAAAAUGGGACUUCGGAUCCCCAGUCACCACAAGCCGUCUGUCUCCGUAUGCGACAGAAGCACCCAGGCGUCCAAGCCAGAUCCUCAGACGUCGGGCUGUUGUUAAUAGACUUCAUUAAGGAGGGACAGCUGAAAAGCAGAGAAGUACACCCACCGCGUGUGUGCGGCUCAGUGACUUGUCACGAUGCACACAGCCACAUGGCACGCACGGUGUAGACCGCGCUGCGUCUGCUCCAAAGCACCCCGAAGUUUAGGGGCUGAAACAAUGGCAUUUUGUUUGCCCACGGACCUGCAGUUUGGGCAGGGCUCAGACAGGAUAUGCCUCAUCUGCCGCUCUCAGCGUCGGCUGGAACGGUCUGAAGGCCGGGGCUGGAACCAUCUGGAGACCCCUGCACACACACGGCUGUCCGCCGAGGACCCUACUGGGGCCAAGACACCUGAACAUACCACGUGGCUUCUUCCCAGCACAGGAACUGGCUUCUAAGGGGGAGGGUCUUGCAAGAGCCCUGGGGAGGCUGUGUCACCUUUGCGGCCUGGACUCUGUCGCACUCUCUUCAUUAGAAGCAAGUUGCUAAGGCCAGUCUGUACUCAAGGGGAAAGGAAUUACAGUCCAACUUUGGGUGGGAGGAGUGCCAAAGAACUCACGGGCAUGUUUAAAACCAGUACAAAGGCACUUCUGUCAUUCCAGAAAGGUCCGUCACACACAGAGAAUGGAAUUGUGCAGCACAGGCGCUCUUGCAUCCGGCCUCUAUACGGGGCUGCGUUGCUGCCCAUAGCAGCACCUCAUGGCUUUUCAUUCCCGUGGAGUGUUCCAUUGUAUGACCAUAGCCCAUUUUGUCCCUUCUACCCUUAAGGGACAUCCGGGUGGUGUUCAGUUUGGGGCUGGCGUAAAUAAAGUGCCUGUCUUGG